rnacentral:rRNA from 1 species
CCUACGGGAGGCAGCAGUGGGGAAUAUUGGACAAUGGGCGCAAGCCUGAUCCAGCCAUGCCGCGUGAAUGAUGAAGGCCUUAGGGUUGUAAAAUUCUUUCGCUAGGGAUGAUAAUGACAGUACCUAG